rnacentral:rRNA from 1 species
UACGGGGGGAGCAAGCGUUGUUCGGAUUUACUGGGCGUAAAGGGCGCGUAGGCGGCCAGCACAGUUCAGUUGUGAAAUCUCCGAGCUUAACUCGGAAAGGUCAACUGAUACUGUGCGGCUAGAGUGCGGAAGGGGCAACUGGAAUUCUUGGUGUAGCGGUGAAAUGCGUAGAUAUCAAGAGGAACACCAGCGGCGAAGGCGGGUUGCUGGGCCGACACUGACGCUGAGGCGCGAAAGCCAGGGGAGCGAACGGG